rnacentral:rRNA from 1 species
AAGAUUAAACUGAAGAGUUUGAUCAUGGCUCAGAUUGAACGCUGGCGGCAGGCUUAACACAUGCAAGUCGAACGAAGUUAGGAAGCUUGCUUCUGAUACUUAGUGGCGGACGGGUGAGUAAUGCUUAGGAAUCUGCCUAGUAG